rnacentral:rRNA from 1 species
CAGCCGCCGCGGGAAUACGGAGGGUGCAAGCGUUAAUCGGAAUUACUGGGCGUAAAGCGCACGCAGGCGGUCUGUCAAGUCAGAUGUGAAAUCCCCGGGCUUAACCUGGGAACUGCAUUUGAAACUGGCAGGCUAGAGUCUUGUAGAGGGGGGUAGAAUUCCAGGUGUAGCGGUGAAAUGCGUAGAGAUCUGGAGGAAUACCGGUGGCGAAGGCGGCCCCCUGGACAAAGACUGACGCUCAGGUGCGAAAGCGUGGGGAGCAAACAGGAUUAGAUACCCGAGUAGUCCCUGUCUCUUAUAC